rnacentral:rRNA from 1 species
UAAGGAAUCUUCCACAAUGGGCGAAAGCCUGAUGGAGCAACACCGCGUGCAGGAUGAAGGCCUUCGGGUCGUAAACUGCUUUUAUAAGUGAGGAAUAUGACGGUAACUUAUGAAUAAGGGUCGGCUAACUACGUGCCAGCAGCCGCGGUCAUACGUAGGACCCAAGCGUUAUCCGGAGUGACUGGGCGUAAAGAGUUGCGUAGGCGGUCGUAUAAGCGAAUAGUGAAAUCUGGUGGCUCAACCAUCAACACAUUGUUCGAACUGUACGACUCGAGAAUGGUAGAGGUACUUGGAAUUUCUUGUGUAGGAGUGAAAUCCGUAGAUAUAAGAAGGAACACCAAUGGCGUAGGCAGAGUACUGGACCAUUUCUGACGCUGAGGCACGAAAGCGUGGGGAGCGAA